GAUAAACGCUAGCGGCAGGCUUAACACAUGCAAGUCGAGGGGCAGCAUAGAUUGUAGCAAUACAAUUGGUGGCGACCGGCGCACGGGUGCGUAACGCGUAUGCAACCUACCCGUCACAGGGGGAUAAUCCGGAGAAAUCUGGUCUAAUACCCCAUAACAUAUGGAUCGGCAUCGGUUCAUGUUGAAAUUUUCGGAGGUGACGGACGGCAUGCGUAGCAUUAGCUUGUUGGUGAGGUAACGGCUCACCAAGGCGACGAUGCUUAGGGGGACUGUGAGGUUGUCCCCCCAAACUGGUACAGGGACACGCACCAGACACCUACGGGAGGCAGCAGUGAGGAAUAUUGGUCAAUGGGCGCAAGCCUGAACCAGCCAUGCCGCGUGCAGGAUGACGGCUCUAUGAGUUGUAAACUGCUUUUGUACGAGGGUAAAGUGGGUUACGUGUAACCUUUUGAAAGCAUCGUACGAAUAAGGAUCGGCUAACUUCGUGCCAGCCGCCGCCGUAA
rnacentral:rRNA from 1 species